AUUCUGUGAUUCUGUGAUUCUGUCAUUUUAAGGUGUGCAGCCUGAAUUCAUAGCUAUUGUAGUUAUGUUGGUAGUGUUAUACUAGAGGUUAAUUUGUCUCCAUGUUUUUAAGACCUGAAUUCAUAAAAUGUUAGUGAAAUAAAGGGAAGCUUAACUCAGCAAAGUAGUAGUGUCUCAACUUAACACAUUGCAAAGAUGAGUCUGGUGCUGGUGCACUGAACAUGAUUUGAACUAUCUGCUUGUUUUAGAUAUUCAGUACAAAUAUGCCUAAAAAAAUGCAGGCAAUAAACAAGUCAUUGUCCCCAGAACUCUGACAAAACAAACAGAACAAACUGGAGACAGGAUUUUGGUAACAAAAUGUACUGAACACUGUAGACUACAGCGAAGUAGGAGAAAAAUUUUAUUGAUGGUUGAUCAUAUCUAGUGCUGCUGACUUGUUGAUUGCAGUCUGCACUGAACAUACAUAAACAAAUUGAAAACAGAACUGUGUCUUAAGUUCAAACCCUGUGCAGACUGGAAUCUUCCACAAAAACAGCAAAUAUGCUUUUGAAAACACCAAAUGUGUUUGUGAACCAUGCUGAGGCUGCCCUCCAGCUCUGGCCUGCGUGCAAGCAGCAUCUGGGCAGGAUGAGCAGGACAUACUCUCUGGAGCCCAAAGUACUCAAACAUGUCUGUGUCAGUGUCUCACAGGGUGUGCCUGGCAUUCUGCCUAGGGCCAGAUUGUAGAAGCAUGUGGUAAAAUGCAUCAUGCCUACUGGAGCUCAAGGGGCUGAUUUUUCACAGCAGUAGCGGGAUGUAGCAUGCAGAGUACAUUCUCAGAAAGCCGCUUCCCUUCAUUAAUGAACAUGUGCAUCAACAUGCGCAUCAACAGGACUAGAAAAACUAUAAUAUGGAGUUUAACAAUCCUGGGUUUUAUCUGGUUUUCAGUGAGAAUUUGACAUGUGUUUUCUUAAAAUUAGCUUCAAUAAAUCAUCAUGAAUUUUGAAGUCAGAAAUUCAUUGAAUACAGCUGCCAGUCAAGAAGUAGUUAAAACAGAGGAAUUAAAUAAGUAGCAAAGCAAACAAGCUGACCAUAACUAACAAACCAAAGGGAUUCUUGGGGGGGGGAAUGGGGGAAGGGGGAGAGGGGAGAAAAAAAAAGAAAGAAAGAAAAAAAAAAGAAAGAUGAAUUUGGUAUGAAUACUUGUAUGUUACUUAUUUUAUGUAUGCAUAAUGUUUCAUCUGCUUUGCCGUAUAAGCGAAAGAGCCCAGUGCCACAUAGAUAUUGCCAUUGUUUUCACCUCUGUAGUUUAUAGAUUGUAUAGGCAAGGAGACAUUAUAACUACUAAGUGUAGUUUUGACAGUCUCCCUUCCCUUUAGAAGUAAUCCAUCAUUUUGUCAUACUUGCUUCUUGGUGAAUAUUACUCACUGAGUAAUGUGAUCCAAGACAUAGAACCACUUUCCCAUUAUAUUUUCUCCUCUCGGGUUCGUAAGAAAAGAUCUUUACAGAAAAGUUUGUGCCUAUAAGCAAAGGAAAUACUCAUCUACAUUCAGGUAGCUUUUCAUCCAGUUUGGAGUUCUAGCUCAAGCUUAGGCCAAUAUUAAAUGUAGACACAAAACUUUUUAAAAUUAAAUUCUGCCUACAUUCUUAAACAUAUUAGUCUGUGAGAAUCCUUCUUUGUUUUUUUGACUCGAAGCUUGCUUCCUGAGGUAUUUCUUGUGGUAGGACUCUGAUUGAUUUAUUGAGGAGGCAAGUGGUGGGUGCUACCGCGUGACCAUUGACAUCACUUUGUGGACAUUUGAAAACCCCUUCCUCCAGUGCUGCUUGCCUCCAGAAGAGAGUACUUAGGAGUGUUUACUGGCAGAAGAUCUGUCCUGUGACUAAAUAGCUCCAGCUUGGUAUGGGAAAGCUGGGGAAUUAUACCUUCGUGUCCUGUGAAAAACAGGAUGCAGCUGGACAUCCCUGCUCCCUCUUAUCUGCUGGCAAGGCCUGGAAGAUGGGAACAAAGGAGUUUCUGCUGAGAUCCCAGAGUCAGAAGCUGCCACUACAAGGAGAGCCAACUCAACCACUUUGGAUUUGAGCUGUUACUCCAAAAACAGCUGACUUGACCACUUUGGAACCAUUGAAAAGUGGCCAUCAUCACCAUGGUCACUGUCAUCGUCAACAGAACAGCAAUGCCGACGACUGAAGAUCAGUGGCUGAACUAUGAACCAUGCUGGAUCCAUGGUGAGGAGUCCACAUGGGAAGGUGGCAUGCAGGGUACCUGGUGACCUCCAAGUUAAACCCAUCAUGAUUACUCCUUGUACAAGCUCUGCUUGAUGACAACCCACAGUAGAGGAUGCAUGAGAGUAAUGUUUCCAGCUCAGUGGAGUCCAGUGUUUGAGGUGAAAACAAUGAUAAAGCAUUGCUGGCAUCUGUGGAAUGGACAGAGCCAUUGUGACACAGGAGCAGUUGUCUUCUGGGAUGUUCUGCAUGUGUGUGCAGACAACAUAUAUAGGAUAACAUCUGUAAAAUAUUUGGCAAACCAUGUGUCUACAAAAUAGUUAUAUAGAACUUCUACAGAGAGUAGCAGUUUCAACAAAUAAACAAAAUGUUUGGACCAUUAAAUGGUUAUCCUUAAUUCAUUGUUUUAAAACUGAAUUGUCUUCUGAAAUAUUUGUAAUAUGUUCCUAGCACAUUACUUUUACUGCUGUCUUGUAAUUCAGUGUCUUUUCUUCAUUUGGUAAUGUACAUCAAACAAAAAGAAAUCAGAAACUGUAAAGGCUUUGACAUCUCUGAUCCAAGUGCACCAGAUUUGUCACUAUUGCACAGCACUUCCUGCUAUAUAUUCAUUUUUUCUG